rnacentral:rRNA from 1 species
AGAGCACAAGGGGAAUGCCUUGGCACCGAGAGCCGAAGAAGGACGUGACUAACUGCGAUAAGCUGCGGGGAGCCGUAAGUAGGCUUUGAUCCGCAGAUUUCCGAAUGGAGCAAUCCGGCAAGAGGAAAGUCUUGUCAUCAUAUACUGAAUACAUAGGUAUAUGAGGGGAACCGCCUGAACUGAAACAUCUAAGUAGGGCGAGGAAGAGAAAUCAACUGAGAUUCCGUAAGUAGUGGCGAGCGAACGCGGAAGAGGCCAAACCGAGAGUAGUAAUACUUUCGGGGUUCGGACAGAAUACGGUAUUGUAAAGGUUUAGUGGAAUGGAAUGGGAAGUCCAACCGAAGAAGGUGAGAGUCCUGUACACGAAAAGCCUGAACAGCCAUCUGUAUCCAGAGUACCGCCGGACACGUGAAACCCGGUGGGAAUAUGGGGGGACCAUCCUCCAAGCCUAAAUACUACUCGGUGACCGAUAGUGAAGAAGUACUGUGAAGGAAAGGUGAAAAGUACCCCUGACGGGGAGUGAAAAAGAACCUGAAACCUUGUGUUUACAAGCACCGAAAGCUCAUCAAAGAGCGAUCGGGUACCUUUUGUAGAAUGGUCCGGCGAGUGAAUGUAACCGGCGAGGUUAAGCACUUAAGGUGUGAAGCCGCAGCGAGAGCAAGUCUGAAUAGGGCGUAUGAAGUCGGUUGUAUUCGACCCGAAACCGGGUGACCUACCCAUGGUCAGGUUGAAGUAAAGGUAAAACUUUAUGGAGGACCGAACCGACUCCCGUUGAAAUGGUAGCGGAUGAACUGUGGGUAGCGGAGAAAUUCCAAUCGAACCCGGAGAUAGCUGGUUCUCUCCGAAAUAGCUUUAGGGCUAGCCUUGAAAUAGAUUACCGGAGGUAAAGCACUGAAUUGGCUAGGGGCCGAGAGGUUACUGAACCUUAUCAAACUAAGAAUGCCGGAUAAUCGUUUUUCAGGAGUCAGACAGUGGGAGAUAAGUUUCAUUGUCAAAAGGGAAACAGCCCAGACCCACAGCUAAGGUCCCCAAGUAUAGUUAAGUGGAAAAGGAUGUGGAAUUGCACAGACAACCAGGAUGUUGGCUUAGAAGCAGCCACUCAUUAAAAGAGUGCGUAAUAGCUCACUGGUCGAGUGACUCUGCGCCGAAAAUUCAACGGGGCUAAAAUUCAUACCGAAGCUUGGGCUUGACAGUAAUGUCAGGGGUAGGGGAGCGUCGUAUACGAGGUGAAGUCAUAGCGGAAGCGGUGGUGGAUUGUAUACGAGUGAGAAUGCCGGAAUGAGUAGCGAGAAUUAUGUGAGAAUCAUAAUGGCCGAAAGUCUAAGGUUUCCUGAGGAAGGUUCGUCCUCUCAGGGUUAGCCGGGAGCUAAGGUGAGGCGGAAACGCGUAGCCGAUGCACAUACGGUAGAAAUUCCGUAGCCUCCGAAGAUUUAAGCACAGGGACACUUUUGAAGGGCUGAGCCGGGCGUUGGUUGCCCCGGUCGAAAGGGACACGAUUGAGUGGAAGUCAGUUUGGAAAGAGGCGAGAAAAGCUGUGUGUAUAUGGAAGGAGCCCGUACCGCAAACCGACACAGGUAGACAGGAAGAAGAUUCUAAGGCCAGCGGGAGAAGGGUUGUUAAGGAACUCGGCAAGUUGACCCCGUAACUUCGGGAGAAGGGGUGCUUACGAAGGUAAGCCGCAGAGAAUAGGCCCAAGCGACUGUUUAGCAAAAACACAGCUCUAUGCUAAAUCGAAAGAUGACGUAUAUGGGGUGACACCUGCCCGGUGCUGGAAGGUUAAGAGGAGAUGUGAGAGCAUUGAAUUGAAGCCCCAGUAAACGGCGGCCGUAACUAUAACGGUCCUAAGGUAGCGAAAUUCCUUGUCAGGUAAGUUCCGACCUGCACGAAUGGUGUAAUGAUCCGGACGCUGUCUCAACCGUGAGCUCAGUGA